rnacentral:lncRNA from 1 species
CAAGAACCUGUGUCCUUUUAAGCCCAGCUCGGCCCCGGCCAGCCCCGUUUGCCCAGUGACAUCUCCACGGUGUGCGGGACAAAGGCGGACACGCAACAGCAGAAAUCAGAAGAGAUCAUGGCUUCCAGGUUAAAGACCUUUGCUCAACUUUCUGCUGCUCUGAGUUAAUCUUUCUCUACCCAGCCAUCGGAGUGACCAGCACAGGAAUUUCCCAAUAUUUUGGCAUUUCAUUUCAGAGAACUGGACCCCAACCAGUCUGCAGCAGUACUGGAUGUUGCAAUGCAGUUCCAGACUUUCCCCAGGCUCCCUGUGGAGUGACCAGUGCUUCACCUACAGUUGCAGAGCCCCAUUUUGAGGGAAACUGGAUUUUUUUCCCCCAGAAACACAACCCACAAACACCAAAUAAGUGGUAUUUCUGCUGUGAUUAAAAGUAGCACAUUUUAGUUUUUCUCUGCUAGUUUUGGACAACAUGUGGUAUUUUCGUUUUGGGUUGGUCAUUUUCUUUUUAAUAUGAAGUCUUC